rnacentral:rRNA from 1 species
GACAGAGGCCCCAAGCGUUAGGCGGAAUCACUGGGCUUAAAGCGUGUGUAGGCGGACGCCUAAGUGUCUUGUGAAAUCCCACGGCUCAACCGUGGAACUGCUGGGCAUACUGGGCGUCUUGGGCCAACUAGGGGCAGCCGGAACAAGCGGUGGAGCGGUGAAAUGCGUAGAUAUCGCGUGGAACGCCGAAGGUGAAAACAGGCUGCUGGGGUUGCGCCGACGCUGAGACACGAAAGCCAGGGGAGCAAACGGG